rnacentral:rRNA from 1 species
AGAACGAACGCUGGCGGCAUGCCUAAUACAUGCAAGUCGAGCGAACACUUCGGUGUUAGUGGCGCACGGGUGCGUAACGCGUGGGAAUCUGCCCUUGGGUUCGGAAUAACAGUUGGAAACGACUGCUAAUACCGGAUGAUAUCGAAAGAUCAAAGAUUUAUCGCCCAGGGAUGAGCCCGCGUAGGAUUAGCUAGUUGGUGAGGUAAAGGCUCACCAAGGCGACGAUCCUUAGCUGGUCUGAGAGGAUGAUCAGCCACACUGGGACUGAGA